GACGAACGCUGGCGGCGUGCCUAAUACAUGCAAGUCGAACGCAGUGGGGACGGUUGAGUAACACGUGGGUAACCUCCCAUCAGAGGGGAUAACACUUGGAAACAGGUGCUAAACCGAUACGGAUGGCUGGACCCGCGGUGCAUUAGCUAGUUGGUGGGGUAACGGCUUACCAAGGCGACGAUGCAUAGCCGACCUGAGAGGGUGAUCAGCCACACUGGGACUGAGACACGGCCCAGACUCCUACGGGAGGCAGCAGUGGGGAAUAUUCGGCAAUGGACGAAAGUCUGACGGAGCCACGCCGCGUGAGUGAAGAAGGUUUUCGGAUCGUAAAGCUCUGUUGUUAGGGAAGCGGUACCGACACAGAAAGCCACGGCUAACUACGUGCCAGCAGCCGCGGUAAUUC
rnacentral:rRNA from 1 species